rnacentral:rRNA from 1 species
GACGAACGCUGGCGGCGUGCUUAACACAUGCAAGUCGAACGGAAAGGCCCUGCUUUUGUGGGGUGCUCGAGUGGCGAACGGGUGAGUAACACGUGAGUAACCUGCCCUUGACUUUGGGAUAACUUCAGGAAACUGGGGCUAAUACCGGAUAAGAGCUCCUGCUGCAUGGUGGGGGUUGGAAAGUUUCGGCGGUUGGGGAUGGACUCGCGGCUUAUCAGCUUGUUGGUGGGGUAGUGGCUUACCAAGGCUUUGACGGGUAGCCGGCCUGAGAGGGUGACCGGCCACAUUGGGACUGAGAGACGGCCCAGACGCCUACGGGAGGCAGCAGGGGGGAAUAUUGCACAAUGGUCGGAAGCCUGAUGCAGCAACGCCGCGUGCGGGAUGACGGCCUUCGGGUUGUAAACCGCUUUCGCCUGUGACGAAGCUUGAGUGACGGUAAUGAGUAAAGAAGCACCGGCUAACUACGUG